UUACGGUACAGAGUCAAUGUGGAGGCUAUAUACAGGGUAUUACGGUACAGAGUCAAUGUGGAGGCUAUAUACAGGGUAUUACGGUACAGAGUCAAUGUGGAGGCUAUAUACAGGGGGUACCGGUACAGAGUCAAUGUGGAGACUAUAUACAGGGUAUUACGGUACAGAGUCAAUGUGGAGGCUAUAUACAGGGGGUAUCAUUACAGAGUCAAUGUGGAGGCUAUAUACAGAGGGUACCGGUACAGAGUCAAUGUGGAGGCUGUAUACAGGGGGUACCGGUACAGAGUCAAUGUGGAGGCUAUAUAGAGGAUGUACCGGUACAGAGUCAAUGUGGAGGCUAUAUACAGUGGGUACUGGUACAGAGUCAAUGUGGAGGCUAUAUACAGUGGGUACUGGUACAGAGUCAAUGUGGAGGCUAUAUACAGGGUAUUACGGUACAGAGUCAAUGUGGAGGCUAUAUACAGGGUAUUACGGUACAGAGUCAAUGUGGAGACUAUAUACAGGGUAUUACGGUACAGAGUCAAUGUGGAGGCUAUAUACAGGGG
ensembl:lncRNA